UGGGUAACCUGCCUCAAAGAGGGGAAUAGCCUCCCGUAAGGGAGAUUAAUACCGCAUAAUAUGUUUAAGUCGCAUGACUUUAACAUCAAAGGAUUUUCUUUUAGAAAUUCCACUUUGAGAUGGACCCGCGGCGCAUUAGCUAGUUGGUGAGGUAACGGCUCACCAAGGCAACGAUGCGUAGCCGACCUGAGAGGGUGAUCGGCCACAUUGGAACUGAGACACGGUCCAGCUCCUAGGACGG
rnacentral:rRNA from 1 species